rnacentral:rRNA from 1 species
AAUAUUGGACAAUGGGGGCAACCCUGAUCCAGCCAUGCCGCGUGUGUGAAGAAGGUCUUCGGAUUGUAAAGCACUUUAAGUUGGGAGGACGGGUUGUAGGUUAAUACCCUGCAAUUGUGACGUUACCAACAGAAUAAGCACCGGCUAACUUCGUGCCAGCAGCCGCGGUAAUACGAACGGUCCACGCGUUAAUCGGAAUUACUGGGCGUAAAGCGCGCGUAGGUGGUUCGUUAAGUUGGAAGUGAAAGCCCCGGGCUUAACCUGGGAAUUGCUUUCAAAACUGACGAGCUAGAGUACGGUAGAGGGUAGUGGAAUUUCCUGUGUAGCGGUGAAAUGCGUAGAUAUAGGAAGGAAGACCAGCGGCGAAGGCGAAUCUCUGGACAGUUACUGACGCUGAGGCACGAAGGCCAGGGGAGCGAACG